GGUGGCGAGUGGCGASGGGUGARUAAUAUAUCGSAACGUGCCCUAGAGUGGGGGAUAACUAGGCGAAAGAUUAGCUAAUACCGCAUACGAUCUACAGAUGAAAGUGGGGGAUCGCAAGACCUCWUGCUCWUGGAGCGGCCGAUAUCUGAUUAGCUAGWUGGKGGGGUAAAAGCUCACCAGGGCSACRAUCAKUAGCUGGKCUGARAGGACSACCMGCCMCMCUGGAACUGAGACRCGGWCCAKACUCCUACGGGAGGCAGCAGKGGGGAAUUUUGGACAAUGGGCGCAAGCCUGAUCCAGCAAUGCCGSGUGAKUGAAGAAGGCCUUCGGGUUGUAAAGCUCUUUUGUCAGGGAAGAAACGGUCUUGGUUAAUACCUGGGGCUAAUGACRGUACCUGAAGAAUAAGCACCGGCUAACUACGUGCCRGCMGCCGCGGUAAUACGUARGGUGCARGCGUUAAUCGGAAUUACUGGGCGUAAAGCGKGCGCAGGCGGUUGUGCAAKACAGAUGUGAAAUCCCCGGGCUCAACCUGRGAAUUGCRUUUGUGACUGCACGGCUWGAGWGUGUCAGAGGGGGGUAGAAUUCCACGUGUAGCAGUGAAAUGCGUAGAUAUGUGGAGGAAUACCGAUGGMGAAGGCAGCCCCCUGGGAUAACACUGACRCUCAUGCACGAAAGCGUGGGGAGCAAACAGGAUUAGAUACCCUGGUAGUCCACGCCCUAAACGAUGUCUACUAGUUGUCGGGUCUUAAUUGACUUGGUAACGCAGCUAACGCGUGAAGUASACCGCCUGGGGAGUACGGUCGCAAGAUUAAAACUCAAAGGAAUUGACGGGGACCCGCACAAGCGGUGGAUGAUGUGGAUUAAUUCGAUGCAACGCGAAAACCUU
rnacentral:rRNA from 1 species